UACGUAGGGGGCAAGCGUUGUCCGGAUUUAUUGGGCGUAAAGAGCGUGUAGGCGGUUUGGUAGGUCCGUUGUGAAAACUCGAGGCUCAACCUCGAGACGCCGAUGGAAACCAUCAGACUAGAGUCCGGAAGAGGAGAGUGGAAUUCCUGGUGUAGCGGUGAAAUGCGCAGAUAUCAGGAAGAACACCCGUGGCUAAGGCGGCUCUCUAGUAUGGUACUGACGCUGAGACGCGAAAGCGUGGGGAGCGAACAGG
rnacentral:rRNA from 1 species